rnacentral:lncRNA from 1 species
AUGCCCACCUCCCUGGGUGCCACAUCCCGGGCUGUGAGCCCUGCUCAGCCGCGCGGUGCGGCUCGUUACACGAAGCCAUUGCUGCCCGCACCCAGCCCGGCCGCCCUCGGGCACAGCGGCAGCUCUGCCCCCAGGAGCAUCGCCCCUCGGACAGCACCGCUACGGGACAAAGGGGGAGGCGGGAGGAGGAGGCUACAGCGCUCCUUCCUGAGACACGAGGGCCACCAGGACCCGCCGCUCGGCAGGGCCCCGUGGCGGCGCAGGGCCGGGCCGGCAGCACGAGGCCUCCGGGGGCCGCCGGGCCGGGUUGGGUCGGGUCGGGGCCGGGCGGGGCGAGAGCGGGCGGAGGAGGAGGAGGAGGAGGAGGAGGAGGAGGAGGAGGGCGGAGCGCGGGGCGGUCGCCCCUGGAGACGGCAGCGGGCGGCGGCGGUGAGUGCGGGCCGGGGGCUGCGGGCCGGGCGGGGGGUGGGCCCGGAACGGGCGGCGGUGGUCGCGGCGCUCGGGGCCGAGUUCGGAGCCGUCCGGCCGCUGUCGGGCCGGUUCUUUUUGUAUCUCAUUUCUCCCGGCUUUCCCCCGGUUGCGCCGUUCCGGGGUUGCGGGGCGGGACGGGCCGAGGGGCGGCGGGCUGAGCGCCGGGCUGUGCGGGCAGCGGGGCCUCCCCGGCGGGCAGAUCCCGGCGGUUCGGGCCGAGCCCCGCCGGGCGGCGGCCGCUCCAUCUCGGCGGAGGGAGAGGGCCGCUCCCGCCGGGCAGCGCCUCGCGGCCUGCGGGGCUGUGCGGGCCGGCACGUGGCGCUGCGGGGACGCGGCCUCGGCCUCGACCCGGUGUCGUGUCGUGCGGUGCCCGGAACCGGAGCGCGGCCCUGGAGCUGCGCGAGGCCGUGGCCGGGCCCUGAGAUGGGGGCAGCGGCACGAGGGGGUGAGCGCCGACAGCACCCGGCACCGAGCGAGGGGCGCUUGGUCGGCCGGACACUGUGCGGGCUGCGGGGCGGCCGUAAGGGGCUGGUUUGA